rnacentral:lncRNA from 1 species
AUUUUUAUUUUUUUCGAGACAGAGUCUCGCUCUGUCGCUCAGGUUGGAGUGAAGUGGCACGAUCUCGGCCUACUGCAACCUCUGCCUCCUGGGUUCAAGCGAUUCUCCUGCCUCAGCCUCCCAAGUAGCUGGGAUUACAGACGCAUGCUAUCACGCCUGGCUAAUUUUUGUAUUUUUAAUAGAGAUGGGAUUCCACUAUGUUGGCCAGGCUGGUCUCGAACUCCUGAACUCGUGGUCCACCCACCUCAGCCACCCAAAGUACUGGGAUUACACGCAUGAGCCA